CUCCUGGUAAUCCUCCUGCCUCAGCCUCCUGAGUGCUGGGAUUACAGGCGUGUGCUACCAUGCCCAGCCAUCAUGAUUUUGUAUUUACAUUGCUCCAACACCAUAUUUAGAGAAGUCUAGCUUUAUCCUUGUCUUCUUUGCCCUGAUAGCCUGCAUUCCUUUAGAGGUCAUGGUUUAAAAUUUUUAUUUUAUGAUUGGUUUAUUGUUACUAUAUACAUACAUCUUACUUCAUUUUUAACUUAACACAGUGUAUCAUGUAGUGAAACCCUGUCUCAAAAAGACAAAAAAAGUGCAUCAUGAAGCUCAUUCCACAGUAAUGUUUAGAGACAUAAUUAUGAUCGCUUUGAGUGAUAAAAUCUUUCAACUGAAGUUCUUUUUCCAAGAUUAUUUUUGCUUUCCUGGGUCCUUACAUUUUGUAUGUAUGUAACAAUCAGCUUAAAAAAACAGCAUCAGCUUGUCAAUUCUGGGGAGAAAGAAAGGCAGCAGAUUCUGACAGGAACUGAAUAAUCUGCAGGCCAGCUUUGGUGGCAUUUCUAUUUUAAGUCUCCUGAUCCAUGCACAUAGGACGUCUUUAAUUUCUUCCAGCCACCACGCCCAGCUUUCUCCUGACUUUCUAAGGAGUGGAUGUACUGCGUUUCUGCAUACCAGGACAUGCAGACUAGCAACAAAAAGGUUUUUCAAAAUUUAUUUCUAUUGUGUAGAUGGGACUGGAGUUGGUGUAUAACUACAUCUCGAUAUAGAACCACGGUCUCCUCCAACAAAUUUAGGUAAAAUGUUAAGAAAAUGGGUCACUGCUUAGGUAAGAGCUUUCUCUUACUGGAGCUUUUCUUUGCAGUGGUCUUGGGAGUGGCUCUCAUCUGAAUGCUGCCUGUUACUCCACCUGGCAGAGGCGUGGCGUCCACUCCCGAAGCUGUCAGGGGCUGAUCCUUGGGACAGACUCAGUACUUUCGAAUGCUUCCUGUUGAAAAUCACCUACGGCAAUUAAGAGAAAUUUGCGGAGGUGUGGAGGGGGGCACCUGCAGCCCCGGCUACUUGGGAGUCUGAGGCAAGAGGACUGCUGGAGCCCAGGAGUGCCAGGCCAAGCCCGCCACGGAGUGAGAGCCCGUCUUUAAAAACCAAAACCAAACGGCCCUGCUGGAUGGCGGAGUACACAUAAUAAACGAGAGUUGCUGGUAUUCCUCUGAAGGCUCUGAGUUCAGGUAAGUGAUACUGAUCUGCAGUGGGAAAGCGCUGGGGCCGGGGAUGUAGCUCAGCGGCACAGCGCCUGCCUGGCAAGCUCAGGGUCGUGAGUUUGAGUCCCGGUACUAAAAAAAUUUCUAGGUAAUGUUAAUUUCACGUUUUCAGUAUUUUGGAAGUUAGUCUCCAUAGUGAACUCUGCUACAGGGAUGAGAUUAUUUCCUGUAACUUUUAUUACAGCACACUCUGGUUUCUCUUCAGAUCAUAUAUAUCUUUUGCCUUUCACUUUUAUUACAGCACAUCUUUUUUUAUCAAUUUCUUUCUCUCUCGUCUCUCUGUCUCUGUCUCUUUUGUGUGAAGGCGAGACCACGCAGUCUAGGCUGGCCAUGGACUCACAGCAAGCCUCUUGUCUCAGCUUCCGGAGGGUUCAGCCUCCUGAGUGCACCGCCAUGCCGAGCUCCAGGUAACUUCUCAAGCUGUCAGGGACUAAUUCUAUUUUGUUCAGUGCUGAGACCACCCCAGGGACUAGCGCCGUGUUGGAAUCACCUGUUGACUGAGUGUGUGCGUAUUUAUGUAUUUAUUUUUAAGGAGUUGCCACAGAGUUUUUAACGUCAGUGGUGGAAUUGGUUUUAUGUUAACUUCUAGAUCUCUGAAGUUACCUUCCUAGCCCUACUGUUCACUGUCUUUAAAUAGCCACUGUCAAGAAUUCUAGGAGAAAUUACUGAUAGACGUUUAAGCUUUGUGGAACUCUCAGGUAGUUUGCUUACAAAAUGGACAUGUAGUGAUAAGCAUUUCUUCCAAACUUACAUUAACGAUUUUACAAGGUAAAAAUAAAAGUAUAUACACACAAAAUAAAUCUAAAUGUUAAUUCCAAUCCUCACACUAGAUAAAACCUUGAUUUGAUUUUGCUAGGUUUUAUUCUGAUAAUUUUUGUAAGUAGAUUUUAAUUUUUCUUUUUUUUUUGGUACCAGGAAUUGAACUCAUGACCCUGCACUUGCUGGGCAAGCGCUGUGCCACUGAGCUAUCUCCCUGCUCUGGUUUUAAUCUGUAAAGAUCUGAACUGUAUAAAGCCAUGAUGAUGGCUGGGGAUGUAGCUCAGUGGCACAGCGCCUGCCCGGCAAGCGUGAGGUCGAGUUUGAUUCCCGGUACAAAAAAAAAAACAACCCAUGAUGAUGACUAAGUUGGUCAUUAUGCUCUUGGAAGAGGUACAGGCUGGGCUUCCCUAAAUCUGAAAGAAAUUAUUUUAUAUCCCAGAAUGUUCUAUUCUUUCCUAGGCUUCUCGAUUUGAAGAACAUUGUUCUCCUUGGAGGUGCUCUGCAGGAUCGCAUCGCUCAGUGGCUUCCAGCGGGGCUACAGUGCCACUUGCCAUGAAGACAGACUUCAAACGACAGUAAAAGCAAGGAAGCACUGGACGCUGUACUUGUCCCUUGAAAUUUAAAAAAAUUUUCUUUUCACUUCAGAUGGUAACGUGCCGACACUGUAACAAGGUCUGAGGGAAGCACCGCUCUCACGGUGCUGUGAGAAUGCAGUCAUCGUGCUUACGAGCCACGACAGGCCUGGCCUUCCCGCUUCAUCACGGCCAGGCCGCCUGCCUACCUAACACAGGGCUCACACGCACCGCUCCCAUCUACCGUCCUGCUCCCCGCUUGAUGAAAGCAGUUACGGUGCAGCCAGGCUUCAAAUGGAAACAGACCCAGCAGGGGCGGGGGGAGGAAACCCCCUGGCCUUUAACAGAAAUUGCUCACUUAACUCCCCCGAUUUCAAGUACUUCAAAAUUAGAUUUCUGUGUGAUACACCCUAUGUGAAAGAGAAUUUUCUUUAUAUUCUAUAGAAUAAGUAAUAGUGAACUGCAACUUAAAUGGACAUUAUGUUCUUCUUGCUAAGAGCAAAGAUGGUCUCUGUAGGAUUUCAUGGGUCUCUCCUAAAGAAAUCCAAUGAAGAAGAGAAAAAUUAUGCAACAAAUUUUAUUUAGCACAGUCAGUCCCAACAUUCAGCACAAAAAGUUUACAGAGGAUAGAAAGUGCAUUAAUAAAAGCCAGUCUUUCCCCAAAGAAAACAGAAAA